ACAGUCAUUUCACGUUGAAAUACCAGUACCCAUACGAUUACCGAAGUUAAGCAACGUUGAGCCUGGUCAGUACCUAGAUGGGUGACCGCUUUGGAAUACCAGGUACUGUAAU